rnacentral:rRNA from 1 species
AUUGAACGCUGGCGGCAUGCUUUACACAUGCAAGUCGAACGGUAACAGGCCGCAAGGUGCUGACGAGUGGCGAACGGGUGAGUAAUGCAUCGGAACGUGCCCAGUCUUGGGGGAUAACUACUCGAAAGAGUAGCUAAUACCGCAUACGAUCUAUGGAUGAAAGCGGGGGACCGUAAGGCCUCGCGCGAUUGGAGCAGCCGAUGUCAGAUUAGGUAGUUGGUGGGGUAAAGGCUCACCAAGCCAACGAUCUGUAGCUGGUCUGAGAGGACGACCAGCCACACUGGGACUGAGACACGGCCCAGACUCCUACGGGAGGCAGCAGUGGGGAAUUUUGGACAAUGGGCGCAAGCCUGAUCCAGCAAUGCCGCGUGCAGGAAGAAGGCCUUCGGGUUGUAAACUGCUUUUGUACGGAACGAAACGGCUCUGGUUAAUACCCGGGGCUAAUGACGGUACCGUAAGAAUAAGCACCGGCUAACUACGUG